rnacentral:rRNA from 1 species
UGUGUAGGCGGUCGUUUAAGUUUGGUGUGAAAUCUCCCGGCUCAACUGGGAGGGUGCGCCGAAUACUGAAUGACUUCGAGUGCGGGAGAGGAGAGUGGAAUUCCUGGUGUAGCGGUGAAAUGCGUAGAUAUCAGGAGGAACACCGGUGGUGUAGACGGCUCUCUGGACCGUAACUGACGCUGAGACACGAAAGCGUGGUAGCAAACA